AUUACGAGCAAUGCUUAAAACCCAAAGGAUUUGACGGUGUCCCACCCCACUAGAGGAGCCUGUUCUAUAAUCGAUGAUCCCCGCUUCACCUAACCAUUCCUCGCCUACCAGUCUGUAUACCUCCGUCGAAAGCUUACCAUGUGAACGCCCGCAGUAAGCUUAAUGAUUUCACCAUCAACACGUCAGGUCAAGGUGCAGCUUAAGGGAUGGAAAGUAAUGGGCUACAAUUUCUAAUCUAGAACAAACGAAAGACUAUGUGAAACCCUAGUCAUGAAGGUGGAUUUAGUAGUAAAAAGAAAACAGAGUGUUCUUUUUAACCCGGCUCUGGGACGCGUACACACCGCCCGUCACCCUCUUCAAUAGUACCCCGUAUGUUCCUAACCCAACACCACGUUUUAGAAGAGGCAAGUCGUAACAUGGUAAGUGUACUGGAAAGUGCACUUGGUAUACUA
rnacentral:rRNA from 1 species